GACGAACGCUGGCGGCGUGCUUAACACAUGCAAGUCGAACGGAAAGGCCCUGCUUUUGUGGGGUGCUCGAGUGGCGAACGGGUGAGUAACACGUGAGUAACCUGCCCUUGACUUUGGGAUAACUUCAGGAAACUGGGGCUAAUACCGGAUAGGAGCUCCUGCUGCAUGGUGGAGGUUGGAAAGUUUCGGCGGUUGGGGAUGGACUCGCGGCCUAUCAGCUUGUUGGUGGGGUAGUGGCUUACCAAGGCUUUGACGGGUAGCCGGCCUGAGAGGGUGACCGGCCACAUUGGGACUGAGAUACGGCCCAGACUCCUACGGGAGGCAGCAGUGGGGAAUAUUGCACAAUGGGCGGAAGCCUGAUGCAGCAACGCCGCGUGCGGGAUGACGGCCUUCGGGUUGUAAACCGCUUUCGCCUGUGACGAAGCGUGAGUGACGGUAAUGGGUAAAGAAGCACCGGCUAACUACGUG
rnacentral:rRNA from 1 species